AAUCAACGCUGGCGGCGUGCCUAACACAUGCAAGUCGGACGAGAAAGUGGGGGCGACCCUGCGAGUACAGUGGCAGACGGGUGAGUAACACGUGAACAACCUACCCUUGAGUGGGGAAUAACACCGCGAAAGCGGUGCUAAUACCGCAUAACAUCUUUGGGUUGCAUGAUCUGGAGAUCAAAAGCGAGAGUUGCUUGAGGAGGGGUUCGCGGCUGAUUAGCUAGUUGGUGAGGUAACGGCCCACCAAGGCGACGAUCAGUAGCCGGCCUGAGAGGGCGAACGGCCACACUGGAACUGAGACACGGUCCAGACUCCUACGGGAGGCAGCAGUGGGGAAUUUUGCGCAAUGGGCGAAAGCCUGACGCAGCAACGCCGCGUGGAGGAUGAAGGCCUUCGGGUCGUAAACUCCUGUCGAUGGGGACGAAAGCCUAGCAAUAGGAUUGACUGUACCCGUUGAGGAAGCCACGGCUAACUCCGUGCCAGCAGCCGCGGUAAUACGGA
rnacentral:rRNA from 1 species